GAAGGUAUAGCUCAGUGGUAGAGCGAGUGCUUAAGCAUGCAUGAGGUCCCGGGUUCAAUCCCCAGGACCUCCA
rfam:Camelus ferus unplaced genomic scaffold scaffold227, whole genome shotgun sequence.